rnacentral:lncRNA from 1 species
CGUGGGGCCCAGCCCCACUCGCUGCCCCCCUGGGGGCUUUCCCCCCCCCCCAGGUGCCUGGAGGCGCUGAUGCUGGCGGGCCACGCGCAGUGCGUGCUGGUGGACGCGGCGGCCGAGCUGCCCAGCCUGGCUGAGCUGCAGCUCGCCUACCUCAAGCUGCGGGCGCUCUGCCUGCCCGGUGAGAGCCGCCGGGGGGGGGGACACCGGGCCCCCGGGCCCCCGGGUCCCUUCCCUCGCCGGACGCCGCCGUUUUCCCGCGCCCUUUCAGACUCGCCGGUGGCCGACGACAAGUGGCUGUCGGCGCUGGAGGGCACCCGCUGGCUGGACCACGUGCGGUGAGCGGGGGAAGCCGGGGAGAACCCCCUCCGCGGCGGGCGGCAUCCGCCCCGGGGUGCCGGGGGGGUCCGGGGCGCUCGAGGCAUCGCCGCGCUCCCCGGCAGGGCCUGCGUGAGGAAGGCGAGCGAGGUGGUUUCCCUGCUGGCCGCGAGACGCUGCUCCGUCGUCUUGCAAGAGCCGGAGGACCGCGACCUCAACUGCCUGCUGGCCUCGCUGGCGCAGCUGCUGGGGGACCCGCACGCCCGCACGCUGCCCGGCUUCCAGAGCCUGGUGCAGAGGGAGUGGGUGGCCGCGGGACACCCCUUCGCCCGCCGCCUGGGCCUCGGCCGCCCCAGCCCGCGGGACGAGGCGCCCGUUUUCCUGCUUUUCCUGGAUUGCACCUGGCAGCUGGUGCGGCAGUUCCCCGGCUGCUUCCAGUUCACCGAGAGCUACCUGCUGGCACUGCACGACAGCAGCUUCGUGCCUUACUUCAGCACCUUCCUCUUCAACUGCCAGUGGCAGCGGGGCCGGAGCGGCCAGGUGAGCGGCGUCCCGGCAGCGCCGUGCCUCGGUUUCC